rnacentral:rRNA from 1 species
GACGUAGGGCGCGAGCGUUGUCCGGAUUUAUUGGGCGUAAAGAGCUCGUAGGCGGCUUGUUGCGUCAGCUGUGAAAACCCGCAGCUCAACUGUGGGCUUGCAGCUGAUACGGGCAGGCUUGAGUUCGGUAGGGGAGACUGGAAUUCCUGGUGUAGCGGUGAAAUGCGUAGAUAUCUGGAGGAACACCGGUGGCGAAGGCGGCAUCCUGGACCGACACUGACGCUGAGGAGCGAAAGCCAGGGGAGCAAACGGG